rnacentral:rRNA from 2 species
UUUCCAGAGAUGGAUUGGUGCCUUCGGGAACUGUGAGACAGGUGCUGCAUGGCUGUCGUCAGCUCGUGUUGUGAAAUGUUGGGUUAAGUCCCGCAACGAGCGCAACCCUUAUCCUUUGUUGCCAGCGGUUAGGCCGGGAACUCAAAGGAGACUGCCAGUGAUAAACUGGAGGAAGGUGGGGAUGACGUCAAGUCAUCAUGGCCCUUACGACCAGGGCUACACACGUGCUACAAUGGCGCAUACAAAGAGAAGCGACCUCGCGAGAGCAAGCGGACCUCAUAAAGUGCGUCGUAGUCCGGAUUGGAGUCUGCAACUCGACUCCAUGAAGUCGGAAUCGCUAGUAAUCGUGGGUCAGAAUGCCACGGUGAAUACGUUCCCGGGCCUUGUACACACCGCCCGUCACACCAUGGGAGUGGGUUGCAAAAGAAGUAGGUAGCUUAACCUUCGGGAGGGCGCUUACCACUUUGUGAUUCAUGACUGGGGUGAAGUCGUAACAAGGUAACCGUAGGGGAACCUGCGGUUGGAUCACCUCCUUACCUUAAAGAAGC